rnacentral:lncRNA from 1 species
CGCGGUCGACGUGGGCGCCGCCGCCGCCGAAGGGAGGGCGGAGGACGAUCGCCCCAAGCCGGCCUCCUUCGCCAAGACGAGUACGUAUUCCCUAUCCCGUGUCUUUUUGCUUGAAUGUUUGUAUGCUUACAAAAUGUGCAGCAGUUACCAUGGUUUGCAGGUAUCCCAUUCAUAUGAUUUUUUUUAUUUCCUUGGUCUCAAUAUAUAUAUCAACUGCUGCAACUGCGAUUAAGCUCCGUCCUUUUCUAACCUCAUGAUGACUUUUCACCCGUAUAGGGCAAAGGAGCACUUAAUCAACUUGUGGUGUAGGUUGUACUCAAUUGCUUAUCUUACAUUAUGUUUAUGUUGUAUUUGAUAGGCUUGAGGUUGUACAAUUAGAGUUCCAUGUGCAUACUAUGGCGUGCUUUGUCGUACUUUAGGUUGCAGUUUUCUUUUCACCUUCGGAAUGUGUUAUACAAGUUUGUUCCAUAUUCAUUUGCAGCGCUGAUACUAUUCAAGUGAUAAGCUCACUUAAGUGUGGAAUAUGCAUGUACGAAAAAGGGAAAACGGGUUAUUCGGAGGGAAGAUAGUGUAAACUGUUGAUAACAUUGUUGGGACAAAGAAGUAUCAUCUUAUUAUGGUUGUUUGUAUUUUAUUUUCUUCUUUCCUAUGGUGUUUAUUGCUCAAUGGAUCUUCUGGAAUUGUAUUAUGAGCUCUGUUAUAAUCUCAAGCAUGC